UGACACAGCCACAUCACCCUGCAGCCCAAGACUGGUUGCCCACUGAAGCUAAGCAGGGUUAAGCCUGGUCAGUACCUGGAUGGAAGACCUCCUGGGAAAACUAGGUUGCUGCUGGUAG
rnacentral:rRNA from 1 species